GUCUUAUGGUUUAUCAAAAUUCUUAUGGAUUAAUCAUAUUAUUAGUCAUCAGUUUUUUUUUUUUUAACUGAGCCACCUAGGUUCUAGGCGCCGGCCUAGGCGCUGGGCGGGCUGGACCCCCAUGGCUGCCUGGGUGCUGCCUAGCGCUUUUUGAAAUACUGGUAUUGACUCCCGAUAUCUAUGUAGUUCUUUAGGGAGAUCAGGUACUUUUUGACACUUCCCAUUUGUAUUUGUUGCUUUACUUAGAUAGGGAGAGAUAGGGCCUCUAUUUUGUUGGACCGAAGUGCAUGGGAUGGCAUCUUCAUGUCCAAACUUAAACGACAAAUCCAUGCUUCUAUAAAAGUUCCCUUCCUGAUAUGCAUCGCAAUUGCCUGCCCAUUUUCUUUGACACACCUAAACUUGUUCUGCUUAGAAACCUGCUGGCAUCAUGUCGUGAGGAUUGAAACUGCAACUACGGCAAAAAUACAGUGAUGACAUACUUCAAUGUUAUUACCAUUGAGUUGAGGAGCACUUUGGUUAUUCAACUGAAUAUCAGCGGGGAGGCACAAGAAGUAGGUGAAUCUACAAUGCCAUCUUCUUUCCCCCAAUGUUCAUUGCUUCAAUGCCUUGGAUGCUUUAAGUGGCCAUUGAAGAAUGGAGUCAUUUAGAUGAUAAUUUUUUACAUCUACUGUGGGUGACGCACACUACUCUUGAGGUCCAAGUUUCAUACUAUAUGCAACCCAGAGAUAGAAGCAUAAUUUUAAGUGGGGUAAGAACAUUACCAUUAGCAUGUGGGCUGCAGUGAAAGGCCAUGCAUGAGCCAUUGUGGGUGAGUCCUGACAAUAGACAUAACCUUAGGUUUCUGUAAGUGUAUUAUACAUGUAUAGUGAUACUCGUGUGUCAACUCAAUAUCUAGCCAAGUUGGAUCUACAAUACUUCCAAUGACUUUCUAUGCAACUCUUCUGGGGUUCUUAUAGGUCUGCAAUCAUUCAGGUUAGUAAUGAUUUUUUGAGAGGAUGUUUACACCUUUGUAAGUCUAAUUCAUGUGAAUUCUUAGAAGGUUCUUAAAAUAAAGAUAGAUGUUUCUCGUGCACUCGACCUGUGGGUGCUCGAUUUUUCUUAAUCUCUAUACAGCAGUUAACGUUAUCAGAGAAAAGAAAAAAGCUUCUAAGAGAAGUACUUUCUGGAUGUGUAUACAGAUUUGUAUGUAUUGUAUUUGUAUAUAUGCAUAGUUUAUCAUGGUUCAAAUUUUUUAUGCCAUUUUGGGGCCUAAGUUAGCGAUCAAGCUCCCCACAAUUUUUAAAGGAAAUAACAUGACAUACCCAAAUAAUCAAUACUCCAAGUCAUUCAUCUCUUGCUUAGACAGAAGGAAGUUUAUGGAAGAUUUGAUUCAUAUUUUGAGUCAACACAUUAACUAGCUGUGUUGAGUCAACAGUAGCCACGGUAAUCAUCUCUUUUGAGUUGUCAUAGUUUUGCAGUUCUCUUAUCUUCAUCAGUUUGAUUUAUAUGAAUUCUUUGAAGGUUCUUAAUUUAUCUAGAUUUCUUAGCCAGCACUUCAGGAGGUUUAUUAUUGAAAAUGUCACACUAGGGAAGUAUAUCUUCUACACAUGUUAGUAAAAAUAAUACCUCAUUGGGAAAAAUGUCUGCAAAAUAAAAGAAUUGAUGUGGAAUACUUCUCUUAACUUCAAUCUUCAAGAGAUUCAUUAGCCUAUUGGUUCAGAAUCCAAGUGCUUCUCUGAGUUCAUAGGUGGCUUUCUGCAUUCUAGAGUUGAGAUUGCAUAUUCACAAACAGAUCAAACAAAGAAGUCAUUACAUUUGUUACCAUACUAGCUCUUUCAAUGAAGACUCUAGAUUCCUGUCUGAAUUAUGGCCUUCGAUUCACUACAUCACAGGGUUUUCAGCAAUUAGGUCACUAAAAAGGGUCUUGAGUGAUAAAUUUUCUUCCGAGGGCCUAUGGGUCAUUGUUAACAAUAGAGGGUGACAAAUUUUCCUGACUUUCAGUCUAUGUGCGGUUCUGCCAUACUGUCAACUAUUGAUCACAUAACAAGUGCAACUUGAUGGAUAGCUUUCAUUGCCAUGAAAAUGGGUUACUUACUGUAAAAGAAAGCUAAGAGACAAAAAAGUUAUUUCACUUAUUUGUGUCACUUUCUGAAAAUAGUAAGGAUUACAUUUGUCUUCUCUAACAAGU